rnacentral:rRNA from 1 species
AGUGAACGCUGGCGGUAGGCCUAACACAUGCAAGUCGAACGGCAGCACAGUAAGAGCUUGCUCUUACGGGUGGCGAGUGGCGGACGGGUGAGGAAUACAUCGGAAUCUACUUUUUCGUGGGGGAUAAUGUAGGGAAACUUACGCUAAUACCGCAUACGACCUACGGGUGAAAGCAGGGGAUCUUCGGACCUUGCGCGAUUGAAUGAGCCGAUGUCGGAUUAGCUAGUUGGCGGGGUAAAGGCCCACCAAGGCGACGAUCCGUAGCUGGUCUGAGAGGAUGAUCAGCCACACUGGAACUGAGACACGGUCCAGACUCCUACGGGGGGCGGCAGUGGGGAAUAUUGGACAAUGGGCGCAAGCCUGAUCCAGCCAUACCGCGUGGGUGAAGAAGGCCUUCGGGUUGUAAAGCCCUUUUGUUGGGAAAGAAAAGCAGCAGGUUAAUACCCCGCUGUUCUGACGGUACCCAAAGAAUAAGCACCGGCUAACUUCGUG